CCUACGGGUGGCAGCAGUCGAGAAUAAUUCACAAUGGGGGAAACCCUGAUGGUGCGACGCCGCGUGAGGGAAUGAAGGUUUUCGGAUUGUAAACCCCUGUAAUGUGGGAGAAAAUAAAAAAGAUAGUACCACAAGAGGACGAGACGGCUAACUCUGUGCCAGCAGCCGCGGUAAUACAGAGGUCGCAAGCGUUGUUCGGAAUCACUGGGUGUAAAGGGUGAGGAGGCGGUUUCGUAAGUCGUGUGUGAAAGGCGCGGGCUCAACCCGCGGACGGCAGAUGAUACUACGAGACUAGAGUAAUGGAGAGGUAACCGGAAUUCCUGGUGUAGCAGUGAAAUGCGUAGAUAUUGAGAGGAACACUCGUGGCGAAGGCGGGUUCCUGGACAGUAACUGACGCUGAGGCACGAAGGCCAGGGGAGCGAACGGGAUUAGAUACCCGGGUAGUC
rnacentral:rRNA from 1 species